rnacentral:misc_RNA from 1 species
GAUGAAGAACGUAGCGAAAUGCGAUACUUGGUGUGAAUUGCAGAAUCCCGUGAACCAUCGAGUCUUUGAACGCAAGUUGCGCCCGAAGCCAUUAGGCCGAGGGCACGCCUGCCUGGGCGUCACACGUCGUUGCCCCCCCAUCUACUCCUUCGGGAUUGCGGGGGGCGGAUGAUGGCCUCCCGUGCGCCUCGUCGCGCGGUUGGCAUAAAUGCCAAGUCCUCGGCGACGCACGCCACGACAAUCGGUGGUUGCGACACCUCGGUUGCCCGUCGUGUGCGGUCGUCGCGCAUCGAGGGCUCGAAAAAAUUGCCGGGCUCCGGCUCGGCUUUCAACGCGACCCCAGGUCAGGCGGGGUUACCCGCUGAAUUUAAGCAUAUCAAUAAGCGGAGGA